rnacentral:rRNA from 1 species
AUUGAACGCUGGCGGCAGGCCUAACACAUGCAAGUCGAGCGAGCGGCGGACGGGUGAGUAAUGUAGGGGGACUGCCCGAUAGCGGGGGAUAACUACUGGAAACGGUAUCUAAUACCGCAUACUAUCGGAUAACCCAUAUGGGAUUGGCUAGUAGGUGAGGUAAUGGCUCACCUAGGCGACGAUCCCUAGCUGGCCUGAGAGGAUGAUCAGCCACACUGGGACUGAGACACGGCCCAGACUCCUACGGAGGCAGCAGGAGGGAAUAUUGCACAAUGGGCGCAAGCCUGAUGCAGCCAUGCCGCGUGUAUGAAGAAGGCUCUAGGGUUGUAAAGUACUGUCAGUAGGGAGGCGUUACCGACAGAAGAAGCACCGGCUAACUCCGUGCCAGCCGCCGCGGUAAUUC